rnacentral:rRNA from 1 species
GGCCAGACUCCUACGGGAGGCAGCAGUGGGGAAUAUUGCACAAUGGGGGAAACCCUGAUGCAGCGACGCCGCGUGAAGGAAGAAGUAUCUCGGUAUGUAAACUUCUAUCGGCAGGGAAGAAAACGGACGGUACCUGACUAAGAAGCCCCGGCUAACUACGUGCCAGCAGCCGCGGUAAUACGUAGGGGGCGAGCGUUAUCCGGAUUUACUGGGUGUAAAGGGAGCGUAGACGGCUGGGCAAGCCUGAUGUGAAAGGCGGGGGCGCAACCCUCGGACUGCAUUGGGAACUGUCCGGCUGGAGCGCCGGAGGGGUAAGCGGAAUUCCUGGUGUAGCGGUGAAAUGCGUAGAUAUCAGGAGGAACACCGGUGGCGAAGGCGGCUUACUGGACUGUAACUGACGUUGAGGCUCGAAAGCGUGGGGAGCAAACAGGAUUAGAUACCCGAGUAUA